ACAGCAGUCGCCGCGGUAACACGUAGGUGGCAAGCGUUGUCCGGAAUUAUUGGGCGUAAAGGGCUCGCAGGCGGUUUCUUAAGUCUGAUGUGAAAGCCCCCGGCUCAACCGGGGAGGGUCAUUGGAAACUGGGAAACUUGAGUGCAGAAGAGGAGAGUGGAAUUCCACGUGUAGCGGUGAAAUGCGUAGAGAUGUGGAGGAACACCAGUGGCGAAGGCGACUCUCUGGUCUGUAACUGACGCUGAGGAGCGAAAGCGUGGGGAGCGAACAGGAUUAGAUACCCCUGUAGUCCCUGUCUCUUAUAC
rnacentral:rRNA from 1 species